AUUGUAGGCUGAAACUCGCCUACAUGAAGCUGGAGUUACUAGUAAUCGCAGAUCAGAAUGCUGCGGUGAAUGCGUUCCCGGGUCUUGUACACACCGCCCGUCACACCACGGAAGUUGGGGGCGCCCGAAGCCACUUAGCUAACCCUUUUGGGAAGCGAGUGUCGAAGGUGAAAUCAAUAACUGGGGUGAAGUCGUAACAAGGUAAC
rnacentral:rRNA from 1 species